rnacentral:siRNA from 1 species
AAGGGAGUGGUGGUGGUUUCCCG